rnacentral:rRNA from 1 species
AACCAGCACCUCAAGUGGUCAGGAUGAUUAUUGGGCCUAAAGCAUCCGUAGCCGGCUCUGUAAGUUUUCGGUUAAAUCUGUACGCUUAACGUACAGGCUGCCGGGAAUACUGCAGAGCUAGGUAGUGGGAGAGGUAGACGGUACUCGGUAGGAAGGGGUAAAAUCCUUUGAUCUAUUGAUGACCACCUGUGGCGAAGGCGGUCUACCAGAACACGUACGACGGUGAGGGAUGAAAGCUGGGGGAGCAAACCGGAUUAGAUACCCGGGUAGUCCCAGCUGUAAACUAUGCAAACUCAGUGAUGCAUUGGCUUGUGGCCAAUGCAGUGCUGCAGGGAAGCCGUUAAGUUUGCCGCCUGGGAAGUACGUACGCAAGUAUGAAACUUAAAGGAAUUGGCGGGGGAGCACCACAAGGGGUGAAGCCUGCGGUUCAAUUGGAGUCAACGCCAGAAAUCUUACCCGGAGAGACAGCAGAAUGAAGGUCAAGCUGAAGACUUUACCAGACAAGCUGAGAGGUGGUGCAUGGCCGUCGCCAGCUCGUGCCGUGAGAUGUCCUGUUAAGUCAGGUAACGAGCGAGAUCCCUGCCUCUAGUUGCCACCAUUACUCUCAGGAGUAGUGGGGCGAAUUAGCGGGACCGCCGCAGUUAAUGCGGAGGAAGGAAGGGGCCACGGCAGGUCAGUAUGCCCCGAAACUCUGGGGCCACACGCGGGCUGCAAUGGUAACGACAAUGGGUUUCGAAUUCGAAAGGAUGAGGUAAUCCUCAAACGUUACCACAGUUAUGACUGAGGGCUGCAACUCGCCCUCACGAAUAUGGAAUCCCUAGUAACUGCGUGUCACUAUCGCGCGGUGAAUACGUCUCUGCUCCU